GCUUGGACUCUUCUUCAGGAGAUAAUUACCUAAAAAACAUAAAAUAAAACCGGUGCCCACUUUCUCAUGGUUAUGACAAAAGGUUUCACCAGGUGAAGUUUAAAAAGCUCUGUUAAAAUACGGACUGCAAAUCUUGGUAGCAUUUGGUCUGUGAGCUUUAUGACCAUCUCUGGACAGAUGAUCAGCUUUGGUAUUGGAAUUGCUCUGCAAGGUAUGGAUCCUGUCCUAGAAAAGCAGACAGGGCCUAUUGUAACAGAACUUUGCUGUUCUUUCAUGUUAUGAGACGUUAUUUCUCAGACAGGCAUUAAGGUCAGUCUUAAAACUGGUUAUGGGGAGGCUGAUUUCACCCCUACAUCUAUUCUCCUAGGAUUCGCAUGUUGAAGCUCUCCUAGGUAAGAGGAUAAGCGGGUAUAUCUAAAUUUCAGCUGCAAGUAGUAAGUGUUGAGAAGAACCAGGACUUACCCCUUGGAGAGAGUGAGAACAGUGCUUUCUGUCCUCCUUGCUCACUCUAAGCACUCCCUCAGUUUCUAAAUGGAUGAUUUAGGG
rnacentral:lncRNA from 1 species